AGUGAACGCUGGCGGUAGGCCUAACACAUGCAAGUCGAACGGCAGCACAGUAAGAGCUUGCUCUUACGGGUGGCGAGUGGCGGACGGGUGAGGAAUACAUCGGAAUCUACUUUUUCGUGGGGGAUCACGUAGGGAAACUUACGCUAAUACCGCAUACGACCUACGGGUGAAAGCAGGGGAUCUUCGGACCUUGCGCGAUUGAAUGAGCCGAUGUCGGAUUAGCUAGUUGGCGGGGUAAAGGCCCACCAAGGCGACGAUCCGUAGCUGGACUGAGAGGAUGGUCAGCCGCACUGGAACGUGGACACGGUCCAUACUCCUACGGGAGGCAGCAGUGGGGAAUAUUGGACAAUGGGCGCAAGCCUGAUCCAGCCAUACCGCGUGGGUGAAGAAGGCCUUCGGGUUGUAAAGCCCUUUUGUUGGGAAAGAAAAGCAGCAGGUUAAUACCCCGCUGUUCUGACGGUACCCAAAGAAUAAGCACCGGCUAACUUCGUG
rnacentral:rRNA from 1 species